rnacentral:lncRNA from 1 species
AAAGGUUUAAAAUACAACCCUAUACUAAUAUGAUAUUACUAGAAUAAUAUAUAUAUGUAUAACUAAAUGCUAGUCUUACCGUUAGUAGGCCUCAUUCACGAAGCCGAUCUAUAAGGUGGGUAUAAGGUUGCGGCCUAUAAAAUGGCGCUUAAUGGGUGUACACUCACACCCACCGCUUGCUUGAUUGGUGGAGGGUCGUUAGCCGAACGGGUAGGAUAGGGCAACCUCAUCCUCUCAUUAAAAGUAUAAUAAGAAAUACAAAGUAACUACACAUAUUUUAAAAUUUCCCAAUCUUAGUUACUUUAGGAAAAGUGAAUUGAUGCAAUCCCAUGAAAUUACACUUUGCACCUUGCUAAGAUGUUAGUGGAGCGUGUGUGGUUUACCGGCACACUAAUUGGUUCUAAGCGAAGGUGGCAAAGGGUGAUUCAUUGUUUAUCAUAGUUCGAUGGAGCGUGUGUGGUUUACCGGCACAUCGAAUAGGUGAUCGUUACAAUGAAGGCACCAUGUGAAUUUGCAUGGUAAUUCACACCCGCUUUGUGAUCCUCGGUAUCCCAGUCACAAACAAGAGGGGCAUAUCGAGAUUUAAACAUGCCAUUGAAUAGUUUCAAUGAAUCUCAUCCGAACCUAGGAAUUCUCAAUACAUUUAGGACUAAUAGUUAGGUUUUAUGGUGGAGAAUUAGUGAAUCGUCAUUCACUUACCUUCAAUUUAUUUGCAUGUUAGAUUACGGCAUCCCUUUUCUAAUAUGUAAAUGUUAUUGUUGGAUCCUAGCCCUAAUUUUUCUUAUUGGGUGAUAAUUAGGGAUUCUUAUUCUAAUCUAUCUUUGUCCUUUUCUAAUUGUAGAUGUCGAACGCAAACAACGCUGCUGCUAGUUCUUUCACGUUGAUGAGCCUUUGCCAAAAGGUCACCUUCGAUGGAACGAACUUUAGCGAAUGGAUAAGAUACAUUCGCACCAUUGCUCGCUAUGAGGAUAAGGAGUAUGUCCUCGAUGAGAAGCUCGAGAAAAUCAACCCCGAAAUCGCUACUCCCGCCGAAAUCACCGCUUUUGAGACUCAUGAGCGAGAUGCAACGAAGGUACAUUGCAUCAUGAUCGCCACCAUGAACUCCGAAUUCCAAAAGUCCUACGAGGACAUGUACCCGUACGAGAUGCACCAAGACUUAUUGGAGAGAUACCACCAAAACGCGAGACAAGAGCGUUAUGAGAUUUUCACCAACAUGAUUUCCGCGAAGAUGGGUCAUGGAGAAUCUCUUACCGUGCACCUGCAAAAGAUGCAAAGGUAUGUCGACCGCCUUCGCAAGUUAAAUGUUGACUUUGGGGAAGACUUGGCGAUCGACAUGGUGCUUCACUCUUUGCCUCCGAUGUACAAUCAAUUUAGGAUGACCUACCACAUGAACAAAGAGGAGGUCACCCUAAGCAAACUCCAAGGUCUCUUGAGGGUCGCUGAGAGCAACUUCAAAGACAAGUCUGUUGCACCAACUCCCAAUCCACCCGCUGCUCCUGUCUUGGCUAUUGGUCAAGGAAAGGGAAAGAAGAGGAAGGCUUCAUCGAAGAACUAUCGCAAGGUUAAAGCCCGAGAUGGUGCCUCUUCUAGUGGGACCAAAGUUGAUCCCGCUAAGCCCUGCCCUAACCCGAAGGAGGCAGAGUGCCACCACUGCCACAAGAUAGGACAUUGGAAGAGAAGCUGCCCAGAGUACCUGCAAGCAAUCAAAGAAGGAAAGAUCAAGCCAUCUUUCGCAGGUAUAUACACAAUUAAAUCUAACGAUUCUAAUCAUGCUAUUUCUUGGGUUCUUGAUACCGGUUGUGGUUAUCACAUUUGUUCUAAUGUGCAGGGACUAAGAAGAAGUAGGGAUGUGGAGCAAGGAAGGAUCAAUCUAAUCAUGGGGAACAGAAGAUCGUCGCCUGUGACCAAGAUUGGAGUGUAUUCUUUAGUGCUUAGGAAUAGUUUAGUUUUAGAUUUGAACAAUUGUUGCUAUUCGCCAGAAAUGGCUAGAAACAUCAUUUCAUUUCAUGGUUUAUAUAGACAAGGAUUUAGAUUUUCUUUUAAUAAUGAGAAUGGUUCUAUUUUGGCUUAUCUAAAUGGUGUCUUUUACUUUGAAGCUAUACCAUGUAAUGGAAUAUAUGAAACCGUUAUGAUUGUUGAUAACUUAGGAAAUGAUGUUUUGAAUAUUGAUUCUUCCACUAGUAUGGAUAAAGCAUCCUUGUGGCAUUGUCGUCUUGGACAUGUCAACAAGAAACGCAUAGCCCAACUCCAAAAGGAUGGAGUGUUGGAGUCAUUCGACCUUAGGGAAGAUGACACAUGCGAGUCUUGUUUGCUUGGAAAGAUGACUAAGUCACCCUUCACGAGUACAUGUGAAAGGGGCGAGGGUCUAUUGGACCUAAUACAUACCGAUGUAUGUGGACCGUUUAGAUCAACCACGAAGGAUGGGAACCGCUUCUAUGUGACUUUUACCGAUGACUAUAGUAGAUAUGGGUAUAUCUACUUAAUCAAGCAAAAGUCAGACACCUUUGAAAAGUUCAAAGAGUUCAAGAAUGAAGUGGAGAAUCAAUUGGGCAGGAAAAUCAAGAUGCUUCGAUCCGAUCGAGGAGGAGAGUACCUAAGUCUUGAAUUCCACGAUUAUCUCAAGGAGUGUGGAAUAGUUUCACAAUUGACGCCUCCUAGGACACCGCAGUUGAAUGGUGUGGCAGAAAGGCGUAAUCGAACCUUAUUGGAUAUGGUUCGCUCUAUGAUGAGUCGUGCUUCACUACCAAUCUCUUUUUGGGGGUAUGCCUUAGAGACUGCCGCCCAUAUCCUUAACCGAGUCCCUACUAAGAAGGUUGCCAAAACACCUCACGAGAUGUGGACAGGGAAAGCUCCCUCGUUGGCACAUAUCAAGGUUUGGGGUUGCGAGGCUUUCGUAAGACGAGAUACUCACGACAAGCUUGAACCUCGAAGUGAGCGAUGUAUUUUCAUCGGCUACCCGCAGACAUCCUUUGGAUAUCUCUUCUAUAGACCGAAGGACAAUGUUGUCUUCGUUGCGAGGAGAGGAGUUUUCCGAGAGCGAGAACUCAUAAGCCAAGGAGACAGUGGGAGGCAAAUCGAACUUGAAGAGAUUCAAGAGUCGAUAGAUGAAGGAACCUCUACCGCUGGCACUCAACCCGAGGAGGAAACUCCGGUUGAACCGAUUGACGAAUCCUUACCUCUUAGACGUUCCGAUAGAGUUAGAGUUCUUCCCCAGUUUUAUGGUUUUCAUAUUACUACCGAAGGGGACACGUAUAUUAGUGAUGGUACACUAGUAAAUCUUGAUGAACCUAAUAGCUAUAAGGAAGCCAUGGCAGGCCCGGAGUCUGCAAAAUGGAAAGAGGCAAUGGAUAGCGAGAUCCAAUCCAUGUAUGAUAACCAAGUUUGGAAUUUGGUUGAUUAUGUGCCCGGACGUAAGACCGUUGGGUGCAAAUGGAUCUUCAAGAAGAAGACCGACGUGGAUGGAAACGUACACACAUAUAAAGCGCGAUUGGUUGCGAAGGGCUUUACUCAAACUCCCGGAGUUGACUAUGAUGAGACCUUCUCACCAGUUGCGAAGAUUAAAUCUAUUAGAGUGAUGCUAGCAAUUGCCGCAUUUCAUGAUUAUGAGAUUUGGCAAAUGGAUGUCAAGACCGCUUUCCUUAACGGAAAGUUGGCUGAGGAUGUUUACAUGGCUCAGCCAGAGGGGUUUGUGGAUCCGAAGCAUCCGGAUAGAGUGUGUAAGCUUGAGAAGUCCAUUUAUGGACUUAAGCAAGCGUCUCGCAGAUGGAAUCUUUGCUUCGAUGAGAAAGUCAAAGAGUUUGGAUUUGUACGAAGCGAAGACGAAUCUUGUGUAUAUGUCAAAGCCAGUGGGAGUAUAGUAAGCUUCCUCGUUCUAUAUGUCGAUGACAUAUUACUCAUAGGAAACGACAUCCCGACUCUGCAGGAGGUUAAGUCCUGGCUCGGGAAGUGCUUCGCUAUGAAGGACCUCGGAGAGGCUUCUUACAUUUUGGGAAUAAGGAUAGUAAGAGAAAGAAGUAAGAGACUAAUUGGACUUAGUCAGAAUACUUACUUAGAGAAGGUACUAAAACGUUUUAGUAUGGAAAACUCAAAGAAGGGAGAACUACCGAUACAAAGUAAUGCCAAAUUGAGUAAGACUCAAAGUCCGAGUACCGAAGCUGAGAUAGCAGAAAUGAGCCGAGUACCAUACGCUUCCGCAGUUGGCUCAAUCAUGUACGCUAUGACUUGUACUCGCCCUGAUGUAGCCUUCGCUUUGAGCAUGGUUAGCAGAUAUCAAGGGAAUCCUGGCAAAGCACAUUGGAUUGCGGUGAAGAAUAUCCUUAAGUACCUUCGGAGGACGAAGGAAUGGUUCUUAGUCCUCGGAGGGAGUGAUGACUUGAAGGUGCGAGGGUAUAGUGACGCCAGUUUUCAGACCGACAGGGACAACUACCGUUCGCAGUCGGGCUGGGUCUUUACCCUAAAUGGAGGAGCAGUGACAUGGAAGAGUUCCAAGCAGGAAACCGUAGCUGAUUCAACGUGCGAAUCAGAGUACAUUGCAGCGAGCGAAGCGUCGAAGGAGGCAAUAUGGCUAAAGAACUUCAUCGGUGAUCUUGGAGUUGUACCUGCCAUAAAGGAGCCCAUGGAGAUUUUCUGUGAUAACGAAGGAGCGGUUGCCUUGACCAAGGAACCGAGGGAUCAUGGUAGAUCAAGACAUAUCGACAGAAAAUAUCACUUCAUUAGACAUCGUGUAGAAGAAGGACAACUCGUAGUGAAGAGGAUAUCAUCAGAAGAUAACCCAGCAGAUCCGCUUACGAAGGGACUGAGUAGGGUUAAGCACUUGCAGCAUGCUAGGAGUAUUGGGCUGAAGGAUGAUAUUAGCAUAGAUUAGAUAGUAUUAGAAACGUGUAAUAGAUAAAUGUAAUUAACAUUUGAUGAUUAAAUAAAGGAGUUUUAUUUAUGAGUAAUGUUACUAUCUUAUGUUAAUUGUUUAGCUAUUGUUUCACUUUGCAUGUUUUGACUUCCAGAAUAAUUGAGUUUAUUAGGAAUAAUCGAAUUGUUCAAAUUGUCCACAAUCGUUCAUAUGUUGGAAGUAGAUAUGAAUGAAGAUUGUCAUGAAUUGGUGUGUAGAUUGUCUAAAUGGUGUUAGACAUAGCAAAGGGUUGCUGCAACGUUCAUGAGUGCUUAUGAACUAGUUUUGAGCAUUGGAACAAACCCGCGCUUGCUGGAAUCACCUUAUGGAAUAUGAUAUAAAAGGGUGAUCGCAAGACGAUAAUAUCAUAUAGUCUUAAAACCUAGAUAUAUGGUUUGUUAUUUGUUAAUUGAUUGUACAUUGAUAAUGCGAAAACGCAUCAGUAACUCGGUGUUAUAAAACGCAUUGUUGUGUAUAGUUGGUUAAUGAAUAAGUAAAUGCAUAUAAGUCGAAGUUUAUCUGUAACUUUUAUCUAAGAAGGUAAAAGCGAUAUCUCGGCCGCUCGAUGAUUUGAUUUGACUUAUGUGCCGGGCCCGGUCAGAACUGAAUUGAUGUGUUCGAUUAAGUUCUAUGUCAAAUAAAUCAGAGAUCGAGAAACCUAAAUGCUUGACUAACCAUUCCAUAGGAUUGUCAGCAUGAUAUCUAACAGAGGACUGUACGUUCCCUUAUCUAAAGGACAAGAUUGAUUAGAUCAGAGUUGACAGCGUCUUUGAGAGCUACGAUUGCAAACCGAAUUGUACUUGUAUAGUUACUAGACUUAUCCAAGUGGGAGACUGUUGGAAUAGUGUCUAAGGCUGUAACUAUAUUAGGCAAGUAUUUGACCCGGUUGUGCAUGGUCCUUUUGGGUUGCCUUCACCAUAGCAACUUGAUAGGAUGAUUUAUUAAGAGAGAGUAAAUAUUAUUAAUAUAUUAUGAGAAUAAUAUAAUGAAUAAUAUAUUGUUAUUUGAUUAAUAUAAGUCAUAGAAUUAAUUGGAAUUAAUUUGGUGACUUAAAGAGAUUAAUUAAAUAAAGGGGUAUAAACUGUCAAUUGUUUGAUAGUUAAGAUUUAGACUGUAGAUCCAUAUAGAUAUACAAGGGACGGAUUCUAGAAGCUAGGAUAGCUUCAAAAAUCGUCCAAGGGGUUAUCUAUGGAAUGGAUUUGGAUAUCCUUAAGAGAAGAUUAUCCAAUUAGGGUUUAGAUUGUAACCCUUAAGGAGUCUACAAGUAUAAAUAGAUCCCAUAGGCAAGGGAAAUCGGCACCUCACCUAAAUUAAGAGAACCCUAGCCGAUUUCCUCCCCUCUCCUCUCUCCUAAGUCAUCUUUCUUGCUAUUGGUGUUUGUAAGCCAUUAGAGGAGUGACAAUUGUGACUCUAGAAGCUCCAAGACAACAAGAUCAACAAGGAAUUCAAAGGUAUGGUUCUAGAUCUAUUUCAAUGUUGUUAUUUAACCUAAUUAGCCAUUAGAAGUCUUGGAUUCAAAGCAUGUUUAAUUAGAAAGCCUAGAUCCAAGCAUUAGGGUUUUGCAUGCGCACAUAGGAAAGUUCUUAUGGCUAAAACCCAUCAGUUCUAACUGGAACAUGAAGACCUUCUUUGACGGAUCUCCAGAUAGCUUCACCUUUCUCUUUAUCUAGUAAAAAUCUUUCCAUUAUGACUUUCCAAUGAUCAUAUUCUUCAACAACUAGCAGUGGGGAACGAGUAGGGCAGCCCACGCUAUUUUCGAUUUGCAUUGAAUACAUUUGUUGAGGAUUAGAAGCAGCCAUUGAAGUUAAGAUUUCUUCAAGAAAAAGUGGUAUAAAGAAGAAAUUUUAUCCUGAACACAAAAAUGGUUAAAAUACCAAGCUAAUUUCAAACCAACUAUAAUCUGAUCUUCACGAUUCAAAGGACAACCACUUAAGCUCUGAUACCAAUUCAGAGAACAAACAAUUUGAUGCGUAGGGACAAGGUUUGAAAACUCAAACCUUGAGUUAAUGUUUAAGAUCAAUGUCUUCUUGCUAAGGAAUGUUCCAGUCAAGUCUGGCAAGACUAGUCAAGUCUGAGUUAAUGCAAUCAACAAAGUAUUCAAGAUAUUAAUGAAGAGUGAAGAUAAUGAUCAAGGUAAAGACAAUAAAUGAAGAACAAGAAGAAUGUUUGAGAUAAUAAUUUAGAAAGUGAAGUUAACUAAAAUAUUGCUAGAUAUAUUUGAAUAAUCUGUCACUUGAUUUAACAUUGAAUGCUCUUAUAAAUAAGAGAACAUGAUACAUCGUACUAACUGAUUACAUACAUAGGACUGGAUAAUAGAGUUACUUCUGACACUCUGAUUAUCCGUUUGACAAAAGAGACUAAGUCCUAUGACAAGUUAAAUCAAGCUAAGUGACAAAUAUCAUUAAUACAACUAGAAAAAACAUUGAUUCAGAUAGGUUAACAUUCGAACAUAACAUCUAUUCCGGAAUGCCUUCAUUUGCUUUGGAACACUAACACACACUCUUCUCUUCUCAUCCGGACACAAGUUGUUAUUCCGGACUGCACAUUUACUUCGCACCAACUUCUGUUUCGGAACUAAGACUGACUUCGGAACUCCAAAAAUGUUAGUGAUUGCUAGAGGUUCACUUUCAGGUUCCAACAGUAUAUAUAGUGAUGAAGUAGUUAAAAUACAAGGUGUAACGAUUUCGAUAAUCUCAGAUCGUGAUAGCUUGUUUACUUUAAGAUUUUGGCAAAGUUUUCAAGAUCAAAUGGGUUCUAAGAUAUCGAUGAGUACAUCAUAUCACCCACAGACGAACGGACAAAGUGAGGGCAGUAUUCAUACCAUGGAAGAUAUGCUACAUGCGUGUAUUAUUGAUUUUGGAGGUAAUUGGGACGAUUAUCUACCUUUAAUAGAAUUCAAAUAUAAUAACACUUACCACGAUAGCAUCCAAAUGGCACCCUACUAAGCUUUGUAUGGGGCUCCGUAUAGGACCCCACGUGUUGGACUGAGGCAGGAGAGAAGUCACUUGCUAAAUUGGAUGUUGGAGAAGAAACAGAAGCAAAAAUUAAAGAAAUUAGAGAAAAUAUGAAGAUAACUCAAGUCUGACAAAAGCAAUGCGCAUACAAGCGUCAGAAACCGAUAGAAUUUCAAAUUGAUGAUAUGGUAAUUUUAAAGGUCUCACCAUGGAAAUGUUUAAUUCAAUUUGGAAAGUAGGGAAAAUUAAGUCCUCAAUUUAUUGGACCAUUUCGCAUUUUCAACGUAUUGGAGUCGUCAUUUACUAUUUAGAUCUUCCCAUUAAAAUGCAAGGUAUACAUAAUAAGUUUCAUGUAUCUCAACUACGAAAAACAUUAUUUGAUGAAAAGUGAAGAAUAUUGUGAUCAUAAAUUCAAAUUGACGAAAAGUUGAGAUAUCAAGAACAAGGUGAGAAUAUUUUGUACUAUAAAGAGAAAAUGCUCUAGAAUAAGAAAAUUAGACUUGUAAAAUUCCAAUGGCGACAUCAUAAAGGAUUGGAUGUUACAUAGGAAACGGAAUCAAAUAUAAAAGAUAAAUACCCACACUUGUUUUAAUUGAUUUCGGGGACAAAAUCUUUGAAGGGUGGAUGAACCUAUAAUGAACUAAUUUGAUCGAGUAGGUAAAGGACGCGACAUAAUGUAUAAGUAUAUUUUAUAAAUUAAGGUUUUAUCUAUAGUUAUGGAGUAAUUAUGUUGUGUAAUGUCAAUUUGAAACAGCUAUUAAAAAUUACGAAAUUACAUGGCAUAAAUUAGUGAAUGAGAAGAGUUUAUAUCAAAAUUUGGGUCUCACGACGUGAGUGAGAACGGUGAUUGAGUUACAUAAAUGAAUAGUGACGACAUUGUACUUUGGCAAUGUGAUCACGUGAAGGAGGACACCUCACCACAUGAGAAAAUAUACCGCCUAAUAUUUUACGCGACGGGUCUUAUUUUGUUGUGUAAGGAAUAUGUCACUAAAGAGAGAGCUCAUAACGUGACAACAAAAGUGUCACGUCGUGAGGACGAAUCAUAGCAUAAAUUAAAUUAUGUCCAUAAGCAAGGCAUUCUUGAUCUUUACACUUCUAAAAUAUACUUUAAGGUGCGAUUUACACACACUUAUCCAUUUCAAGUUCGAUUUUGAAGGAAUAAACGGGUCUAAGCUUCAAUUUGUUGAAUCAAGGUAUGGAUAAACACUUCUAACACCAUUUUCUUUGAAUUUUGGGUGAAAUAUGAGGGUUUUUGGUUGAAACCCUAGACGAAGGGUUUGAGUCUAAUUGAUGAAAUUAGGAUCUUAAUUUAUAUAUUAUAACUUCAUUUUAGUCUAAUUCAAUGUUUAUGAACCUUGUAUGUUACUCUUGAUCUAUGAGGAUUAAGAUAUAUAUGUGAAAGAAAAGUGACUUAAUGAAUUAAGUCCUUAAAUAGUAAAUUAUGAUGUUUGUAAUGAUCCAACAAGUAGAAUAAACUUGUUAUGAGUAAUUAAUGAUUAAAAAAUAUAUAUGGAAUUCAUCCAAAAUGAAACGAGGAUGUGGUUUAUUAAAUGAGAAAUGAUGCAUAUGAGUUAAACUAUGAAAUCUAUCAUGAUAGAAAUGUUUAUGGGAUAACUAUUAUUAGGGAAGCAAGAGAAGGUACAAGCACGAUGGAAGUAAGCUUGAGAUACAAUCCAAACAAAACUUAAAGCAAGGUAAGUAAACUAAGUUUUACUUAUAAGUUAAAUUACUGAAUUUCUUGUUAUAUUUUACGUAAAUAGUGUGAUGUAUUCAGUGGCGGAUGUAGAGCAUUGGAAGUGGCGUGCAUGGACCUAAUUGAUUGUAAUUUCCACCUUAUAUAUUUUCUAUAAAAGUCAUUUGUUUAUAUCUUUUUGCAGCUAGUCCCCACUUGUUUUUUGUUGGCACCCUUUAAACAUAUAAAACUUUGUUUCUUUGUUUCUUCAAUUCUAAAACUAAACAAAACUGCCUAUUAUCUAUUUUCUAUGAAAAAAACCCCAAGAAGGAGCAAUUACAUUUCAAAAAAAUCCACCUUAUCAUUCAUAUGAUCUUAUUCAAGGUUUACAUAUAUGAAAAACCAAAUUAAAUGCAUGUACAUGAUGCUAUUAUAAUAAACAAAGGCAUCACAAUGCUUUAUCUGUGAUUUUGCAUAUAGUUUUUUAUAAAUACAAAUUUCCAGUUAUUUUUAUUUUUAUCUUUUCACUAAUAUGAUUAUAUAAUGGACAACGGUUACCAUUUUUUUUGCCGCCACUGGAUGUAUUGGUGUUGAUUAUGUCAAAGGAAAUAUGAAUGAAUUAUGUUAAACUCAGAUUGGAGUUAACAUGUAGAAAGUAUGUGAUAUUAUUGGAAUGUCUCGGAUUGGAUACAUUAAAGAAAAACGAGAUUAUGAAGAGUGUAAUUUUAGAAAUGAAGAACAUCAUAAAGAUGUGUUAUUAUUAAAAGUUCGUGUUUAUAAGACUGGUUUCUUUUAGUUAUUUAAAAUCUCAUAAUUACUCAUUUGCAUGUCAAAUUGUAAAUUUUUUAUUUCUAGGAGCAGAGCCAAAAGNNNNNNNNNNNNNNNNNNNNNUAUAUAUAUAUAUAUAUAUAGGAGUAUGAUCAAAUGAGAACACCUAAAAGGUUGAGAACGCGAGAACAGAUCUGGACCAUCUAAUUUUUAAGAUGUGUGACUAUAAUUAAUUGUUAUUUUUCUUAUUAUUAAUACAUUUAAUUUUUAAAUUUUAAAUUAAAGAAAAUUAUAAAGGCAAUUAAGGUAAAUAAGCAUUACCCUAAUUUUGUAAACUCCUAUAAUUACUCUAUGUCCCUCUAUUUUGUUGACAUAAUCUUAUAGAACGAACAAUCAACAUAUUCAUCCUUUCACCGCCUAAUCCCUACGCCACCACUCUACUUUUCUCAUCAUCGAACCUCGCCAUCCUCUUAGUUCAUUUUAUUCUUUUACCCAUCUCAUGUUUAAUGAGAAUCCAUGGCAGAUAUGCAUAAAAAGGAUGUAGAUCGAUCGAGAGAAACAACAGAUGGGUAGAGAUCAAUUGAGAGAAAGCGAAAUACAAAGACGUAUUAUUGGAAUGUGUUUCGAUUCUUUUAUCGUGCGAUAUCAAUCUUCCGGUUACUUUCAAAAUCGAAAAUUUAUAAGGGCGUCUACCUUCGACUAAUUCCACUAACCCAGGUUAGUUUCCUUGCAAUUCCAAUCAUUUACUUAGAGUUACUGUUUACGAAUCCCUAAUACGAUUUUUGGUAUCUAUUAGAGUUCAUUAUUCAAUCAAUUUUGUACGAAUUGAAGGGACCAAAUAUUUAUGAUAUUUAUGCACCGUAAGCUACUAGUUUCACCAAUUUUCAAGAUUUAUAUGACUUUCAUAUUAGUAAAACAAAGAAUUCCCGAAUUUUUUAUUGUUUAGUUUCAUUUAUUGUUAGGUUUGGGAUGUUUCCUGUGGGAAAAAUGAGGGAUUAAUUGGUGGGGCUACCAUUCAUCUCUUUAAUUUGAAAAAGAACUCAAGACAGGGAAACACAAACUUAAGCUUUGGCAAGGAAAGGAAGCAGAUGGAUCUAUUCACUCUACAACUCCACGAAAGGUUUUGUUUUUUUUCCAUGAUCUUCAAACAUAAUAUUAUGUUAUUGUGAAUAGCAGUGUAUUCAGUUGUGAAUAGCAGUGCAUUCAUGUGUGAAUGAAUGUAUUUAUUUAUGAAAGUUCUCAUUUGUUUGUGUUCAUUGAUUUCUGUAGUUUUAAACAUCGAGUUGUUAUUCUGGUGUGUGAUUUUAUCAAUUUUAUGUUAGUUUGACCCAAAAAUAUGUUGGUUGGUUGACUAUUAAGGUUCUGAGAGUACUUCUUGGAGCUCCUUUAGAGUUGUUUGAGAAGAUGAAAUGUGAAAAAUUGGAGCUAGAGGAGAAUGAAAAAUUGUAUUAUGUUCUUUAUUUUUUAGAUGUAAGUUAUAUUAUUUUUAAUGAAUUCAUUUAUGUUAGAAUGUGUAUUUAUUUAUGAAUAACACUAUAUUCAUUUGUGAAUAGCAGUGCAUUCAUGUGUGAAUGAGUGUAUUUAUUUAUGAUUAGAUGUAUUCAUUUAUUCAUUUGUGAAUAACAAGUUACUCAUUUGUUAAUAGUAGUGUAUUCAUUUGUGAAUAACAUUGUAAUCAUUUGUUAACGAGUGUAUUUAUUUAUGAUUAGAUGUAUUUUUUAUGAACAAAUGAUAAUUUUUAUACUCUUUUUAUUUUCGAUUGAUUAAAAAAAGGAAUUAGAUUACUUGUAAAUUGAUGUGUAUUAAAUUGUGAUUGGAGUAGUAUCAAGUUUUUUGAAAAAAAAAUCAAUUGUCAAUACAAAUGUAUUAAUUUGGGUUCGAUUUCUAUUAAUUUUUUUGAAAAAAAAAACGUGAAAUAGGAGAAAAAUAUUUAAUUUUUUAAGAAUUUUUUUUUUCAGUUUUAAAAAAAAAAUGGUAAAAUUGUUUUUUAUAUUCCAUUAAUAAAAAAAAAUAAAAAAUCGAAUAUUUAUUUAUUUUUUGGUAACUCACCCUAAAUUUUAGGGAAUUUGAUUGAAUUUUAAUUUAAUUAAAAUAGACAAAAUUGCAAAAAUGGUCCUUGUGGUAUGCAAAAUUUUGGGGUUUUAGUCCAAACAGUGACUUUUUUGGUUUCGUAGUCCUUUUGAGCUAGUUUCAUUGUGAAUUUGGUCCCUCAGUAAACUGAAAUGACUGUAAUACCCUUGGGGUAUUUAUUUUUCAUUUUUCUUUGAUUUUUUUAAAUAUAAUAUCUAUUUAUUUAUUUUAAUAAUUAUUUUAAUAAUAAAAAAUGGCCCACUUCUCUCUCUCUCUCUCUCUCUCUCUCUCUCUCUCNNNNNNNNNNNNNNNNNNNNNNNNNNNNNNNNNNNNNNNNNNNNNNNNNNNNNNNNNNNNNNNNNNNNNNNNNNNNNNNNNNNNNNNNNNNNNNNNNNNNNNNNNNNNNNNNNNNNNNNNNNNNNNNNNNNNNNNNNNNNNNNNNNNNNNNNNNNNNNNNNNNNNNNNNNNNNNNNNNNNNNNNNNNNNNNNNNNNNNNNNNNNNNNNNNNNNNNNNNNNNNNNNNNNNNNNNNNNNNNNNNNNNNNNNNNNNNNNNNNNNNNNNNNNNNNNNNNNNNNNNNNNNNNNNNNNNNNNNNNNNNNNNNNNNNNNNNNNNNNNNNNNNNNNNNNNNNNNNNNNNNNNNNNNNNNNNNNNNNNNNNNNNNNNNNNNNNNNNNNNNNNNNNNNNNNNNNNNNNNNNNNNNNNNNNNNNNNNNNNNNNNNNNNNNNNNNNNNNNNNNNNNNNNNNNNNNNNNNNNNNNNNNNNNNNNNNNNNNNNNNNNNNNNNNNNNNNNNNNNNNNNNNNNNNNNNNNNNNNNNNNNNNNNNNNNNNNNNNNNNNNNNNNNNNNNNNNNNNNNNNNNNNNNNNNNNNNNNNNNNNNNNNNNNNNNNNNNNNNNNNNNNNNNNNNNNNNNNNNNNNNNNNNNNNNNNNNNNNNNNNNNNNNNNNNNNNNNNNNNNNNNNNNNNNNNNNNNNNNNNNNNNNNNNNNNNNNNNNNNNNNNNNNNNNNNNNNNNNNNNNNNNNNNNNNNNNNNNNNNNNNNNNNNNNNNNNNNNNNNNNNNNNNNNNNNNNNNNNNNNNNNNNNNNNNNNNNNNNNNNNNNNNNNNNNNNNNNNNNNNNNNNNNNNNNNNNNNNNNNNNNNNNNNNNNNNNNNNNNNNNNNNNNNNNNNNNNNNNNNNNNNNNNNNNNNNNNNNNNNNNNNNNNNNNNNNNNNNNNNNNNNNNNNNNNNNNNNNNNNNNNNNNNNNNNNNNNNNNNNNNNNNNNNNNNNNNNNNNNNNNNNNNNNNNNNNNNNNNNNNNNNNNNNNNNNNNNNNNNNNNNNNNNNNNNNNNNNNNNNNNNNNNNNNNNNNNNNNNNNNNNNNNNNNNNNNNNNNNNNNNNNNNNNNNNNNNNNNNNNNNNNNNNNNNNNNNNNNNNNNNNNNNNNNNNNNNNNNNNNNNNNNNNNNNNNNNNNNNNNNNNNNNNNNNNNNNNNNNNNNNNNNNNNNNNNNNNNNNNNNNNNNNNNNNNNNNNNNNNNNNNNNNNNNNNNNNNNNNNNNNNNNNNNNNNNNNNNNNNNNNNNNNNNNNNNNNNNNNNNNNNNNNNNNNNNNNNNNNNNNNNNNNNNNNNNNNNNNNNNNNNNNNNNNNNNNNNNNNNNNNNNNNNNNNNNNNNNNNNNNNNNNNNNNNNNNNNNNNNNNNNNNNNNNNNNNNNNNNNNNNNNNNNNNNNNNNNNNNNNNNNNNNNNNNNNNNNNNNNNNNNNNNNNNNNNNNNNNNNNNNNNNNNNNNNNNNNNNNNNNNNNNNNNNNNNNNNNNNNNNNNNNNNNNNNNNNNNNNNNNNNNNNNNNNNNNNNNNNNNNNNNNNNNNNNNNNNNNNNNNAUAUUCAUUUGAGACCAUUCUAAUUUUGUGAGACCGUGAGACCAAAUCUAAAAAUAAUUUUAAAAUGCAAAAUAAAUGGAAAAAUCCAAAAAUUCUUCUUUUAAAUAUUAUUUCGGAACUUGAAUUAACUAAAAAAAUAAAAAAUAAAUAAAAAAAUAAAAAAUAAAUAAAAAAAUAAAAAAAAAUUCUGUUUUUUUGAAAAAUACGUGAAAUAUUCUAAUAGAAUAUUACACUGACAUAUUCUAAAAAAUAAUUUUAAAAUGCAGAAUAAAUGGAAAAAUCUAAAAAUUCUUUUUUUAAAUAUUAUUUUCGGAACUUGAAUUAACUAAAAAAUAAAAAUAAAUAAAAAUAAAUUCUAUUUUCUUUGAAAAAUACGUGAAAUAUUCUAAUAGAAUAUUACACUGACAUAUUCUUAAAACUAAUUUUAAAAUGCAGAAUAAAUGGAAAAAUCUAAAAAUUCUUUUUUUAAAUAUUAUUUUCGGAACUUGAAUUAACUAAAAAAUAAAUAAAAAUAAAUUCCAUUUUUUUUGAAAAAUACGUGAAAUAUUCUUAUAGAAUAUUACGCUGUACAUAUUUUAAAAAAUAAUUUUAAAAUGAAAAAUAAAUGGAAAAUCCAAAAAUUCUUUUUUUAAAUAUUACUUUCGGAGCUUGAAUUAACUAAAAAUUUUUUUAAAAAAUAAAAAAAAUAAAAAAAAUGUUAUCCUGGGUUAUUUUGAAUUAUGUAUAAUAUUAAGGUAUAUAAAAUUUUAGCUAAAAACUGUAUGGAAAAAUUUGGAUAUUUCCCCUUAGUAGACUGGUUAAUGGUUUUAUAAUCGAUCCUUUAAAAUGUAUCAAAUACAGAUGACAGGAAAUAAAAGGGUGUGCAAAAUUCAGUCUGAACUAUACUGAAACUUGUAAACUAAUACUCUCUCCGUCCCAAAAUUAUAGUCCAUCUUUUCUUUUUGGUUUGUCCCAAAAUAAUAGUCCACUUCUAAAAAUAAAUAACAUUUUUACCAAAAUACCCCUUAUUAUUAGUUAACCAACUAAGCAUUUCAUGGAACAUUAAAUGCAAAGUAAGGACAAAACUGUCAUUUUAUUAUAUAAAGUUAGUGGCAAUUAAUGUUUUUCUUAAUCUGUGUAUUUUUUGUCUGUGGACAAUAAUAUUGGGACGGAGGGAGUAACAAUUUAUAGAGAAAACGGCUCACGUUUAUUAUUAAAGGAAACAAUAAUUACAAUGAAAUUAUAUUAAUGUAUUUACAUUUGGAAUUGUAUUUGCUUCAAGGGUGGUUUAGUAUCGAAUCCUCCCUAAUAAAUAAAGAACUUUUUGUCACAUGUUAUACUUAUACUCUUAUUGAUUUGGCCACAUGUAAUUUUGUGGUUAUUUUCAAUUAAUUUUUUUCCACAUGACAUUUUGUGGUUUUUUUUUUAUUAAUUUCCACAUAAUGUUUAAAUGUAAUAAUUACAAUAAAUAUAAUAAUAAAUGCAUAUCAAUUUCAUUAAUUGAUUUCCUUCUAAUUAAAAAAAUAGACAAAUUAAUUUUAAUAAUUCAAUAUUUUUCUAUUUUUUUUAUUAUAAAUUCAAAUUUAUCAAAUAUUUAUAAUUUAAUAAUUUUUUCUUUAAAAUGAACCCAUGUAAUACAUGGGUCUUACACCUAGUUUGUUAUAAACCAGAACCAAAGUANUAUAUAUUGAUUUUACGUUAAGUCAAGUUUCAAGCAAAUGCACAACCCUAAUAUCACAUGCUCACACUUUUAUACAAACGCAAUUGUUCAAGAACUUUCCUUUUAAAGACAAACAAGUUGUACUCGAAUGACACCUCAUGUUUGAAUAUAAAAAAAGUAGGACCGUUUAAAAACCUUUAAAUAUGGUGGAGUGUGUGUCUGAAAAAGAAUGAAAUUAUACGUUAAUGAUAUCAUCAAACAUGAAAUGAUUGAUGAAUCUUUUACAGAGUUUCAUAAUUAAGCUACAAAUACUUUAAGGUUACAUUUUUUUUUUGUAUGACUGUAGAAAAAUUGAAUAAGUUUUGAGGUAAUUUUCUAUUUUAUAUAUUUUACACAUUCAAGAUAGCGAAUCUUUAUCCCACCUUCUGGAUAAAAAAAACUACAAAUUUUUUUUAUUUAUAGUUCAGUUCAAUACACGUCAAACACAGAAUAACAUGCCAUUAACACAUGAAAUGUUAUAUUGUUCGGAUAAUUAAACAAGUUGUUAUUUAUGUUUGAUGAUAAAAUAUUGAAACUUCUAUACCAAUGUUACAAGUUCUUAUGCAUAAGAUACAACAGGACCUACAUACCAAAAUUGAGAGAAAUAAAAGUAGAGGUGUGGCAAACUAGCAUGGCUUUGAAUAUUGAUAGAGAUAUGUUUGUAUUUUUGUGAUUAUUUGGUCCUUGAGAGUUUGGUUUGCUCGUUUACUAGUCAAUGCUAUGAGCUGGCUCCUUUGCCAUUUUACGCUACUAUGAGUUGUACCUUUCCCCACACUAACACUAUCGUGUAAAUAUAACGCGUAAAGGGGUUAAAACGGUAUGAUUUUGACUGGUUUAAAACAUAAAAAUCUCAAAUUGAUGAAUACCAAUUUUAUUAGAUUUGCUUGAAUCAAUCUUUUCGUAAAAGACUACACGUAACAAGUAUCUUGAAAAAAGAAACAUAAAAAUAAGUUAAAAACUAAAUGAUGUAGGGUUUCAAUUCAAUGUGGUUUCAUUUAGUGGUGGAGCUAUUAGAAUGACAGGUGGGUGUUAAUGCUAACUGAGAGUAUCUUCGAUAGUUGAGUUAUCAUAUAGCUUAAAUUAUCGUUACCUUAUUAUUCUAUUAACUUUAAUCUCUAAAUAAAUUAUUUUUUCAAUGGUUAACUUUUUCCACUAAUUUUUUCUUUAAAUUUAACUAGUCUAUCCUUAUCUAUUUAAAAUGUUCUAUAUAACCUCUCCAUUUAGUUAGUUAUUUUUAAACACACAUAGUAUUAAACGUAUUCUUAUAAUACCUCUAAAAAUUCGUAAAAUGUCACAAAAUAUUUCACAGAUAAAUUAUAUAAAGUGACAAUUCAAAUUAACUACUAAAUAAAUAAAUAAAUUGAAAACUAAAAUAUAAUAAAUGAGUAAAUUAAAAUAUUAAUAGAAGAUGAAGGGGUAAAAUAUACAAGAUGUUAAACUAUAUUGACCACUCAAUAUAUAUUGAAUGGUCAAUAAAAAUAAGCAACAAAAUGGUAUACUCCAAUAGGAAUAAGUGCGCAUUUAUAAAAAAUCAAUAGUAAUUAUCUACAAAAAAAAAAUAAUAAAAAAAAAAAAUAAAAAAAAAACCAUUGGAGAUGCUCAAGGCUCCAAAUUCAUCUAUUUUAAUUUUUACUAUACCUAAAACCCACUAUUUAUUUUUAGUCUCCUUUAUUCUAAAAACGAUCUCUUUUAAUCCGUUUUUAUUCAAAACUAGGCGAAUGCUCGCGCGUUGCGCAGAAACAUCUAUAAGCCUGAAAUCUUCACAAAUAUAUGUUUUUUUAAAUCUAGCAAUAAUGUCGUUGUUAAAUUUGAUAUAAUAACUUGUAUGCUAAGUUGAUAUAGUAUAUUGAUUAUUUUGAAUUAUAUGAUAAUAUAUACAUAUAUUAAAACUGUAUAAUCUCAAUCUUUUGAAUGACCUCUACCUACGGUUACUUAUGAAUAAAAUUAAAUAUAAUAUAUGGUUUAAUAUUAUUUAUAGUUGUUGUUAUUGUUAAUUCAUUUUUAAAAUUUAUUUGUUUAACGUUUUUAAUUUUUAUCAGUGUAAUUAUUUAAAACAUCACAUUUUUUUUUAUUUUAAAGGUAACAAUAUAAUUAUUUAUAUAGAGUUAUUUUUAACUAUUGUUAUUGUAUGUUAUUUUAAGCUAUUUAUUUCAAAACUUUUAACGAUUAUAAAAAUAUCUUUAGGAAAUAUUUUAGUGAAUUGAUAUUACAAUUUAGUUUUUGCAUUUAGCACUAUAAUUUAUCAGUUUUCACAAUUCACAAAAUAUUCUUUGAGUUUUUUUAAGUGGAACUGAAAUUUAUAUUGAAGUUGACCCUGUAAUGUUAUAUUUAAAGUAACAAUUUAAGUAUUUUGUCCAUCCAGUUCAAAAGUUGUAGCUUUAAACUGAUAAUGGUUUACAUACAACAACAUAUUAAAUCUAAUAAAUUAAGUAUAAUAUGUUAAAUGUUAAAGACAUAACUUUAUAAAUAGAAGUAAAAAUAUUAUUUUAAUAUCGAAAUUCAGUUUAUUUUUAUUACACUUUAGGUUUGAUACUUAUUUAUCCUUAUUAACCAAUUUAUAAUCAUUAUUAGAAAGACAUUACACUUUAUCAUUUCUAACUAUUUACAAAAUAUUCUUUGAGUUGUUUAAGUUGAACUAAAUUUUAUAUUUAAGUUGAUCAUGUAAGGUUCUAUUUAAAUUAACAAUUUAAGUAUUUUAUACAAAUUGAUUAAAAGUUGUAGCUUUAAAAUGAUAAUGGUUUACAUACAACAUAUUAGACCUAAUAAAUUAAAUAUAAUAUGUUAAAAGUUAAAAAAAAACUUUAUAAGUGGAAGAAAAUAUAUUUUUUUAAUAUUGAAAGUUAGUUUAUAUAUGAUUACACUUUAGGUUUGAUAUUUAAUUAACCUUAUUAACCAACUUAUAAUAAUUAUUAAAAAGAAAUUGAAAAGUCAUGGGAGUUUCAAAUGAAUGUGGUUCAAGAAAAAAUGCAAGCUUUAUAAGUAUACUAGGCGAAUGCCCACGCGUUGCGCAGAAAGACAUAUGUAGUUGAAAUCUUUACAAAUAUAUAUUUUUUUUAAAUAUAACAAUAACAUUGUUGUUAAAUUUGAUAUAAUAAUUUGUAUACUAAAUUCAUAUAAUAUAUUGACUAUUUUGAAUUAUAUGAUAACAUAUACAUCUAUUAUAACUGCAUAAUCUCAAUCAUUUGAAUGACUUCUACCUGCGAGUUACUCAUGAAUAAAAUUAAAUAUAAUAUAUGGUUUAAUGUUAUUUAUAGUUGUUGUUAUUGUUAAUUAAUUUUUUUAAAAUUUAUUUGUUUAACGUUUUAAUUUCUAUCAUUAUAAUUAUUUAAAACAGCAAACAAUUUUUUUUUGAUUUUAAAGGUAACAAUAUAAUCAUUUAUAUAGUGUUAUUUUUAACUAUUGUUAUUAUAAGUUAUUUUAAGCUACUUAUUUGAAAACUUUUAACGGUUAUAAAAAUAUUUUUAGGAAAUAUUUUAGUUAAAUUGAGAUUACAAUUUAGUUUUUGCAUUUAGCACUAUAAUUUAUCACUUUUAAUUAUUCACAAAAUAUUAAUUGGAUUUUUUAAGUCGAACUGAAAUUUAUAUUUAAGUUGACACUGUAAUGUUAUAUUUAAAUUAACUAUUUAAGUAUUUUGUCCAAACUGUUCAAAAGUUUUAGCUUUAAAAUAAUAAUGGUUUACAUACAAUAACAAAUUAAAUUUAAUAAAUUAAGUAUAAUAUGUUAAAAGUUAAAGUCAUAACUUUAUAAGUAAAAGUAAAGAUAUUAUUUUAAUAUUGAAAUUUAGUUUAUUUAAGGUUACACUUUAGGUUUGAUAUUUAUUUAACCUUAUUAACCAAAUUAUAAUCAUUAUUAGAAAGACAUUACAAUUUAUCACUUUUAAUUAUUUAUAGAAUAUUUUUGGGUUGUUUAAAUUAAUCUAAAAUUUAUAUUUAAGUUGACCAUAUAAUAUGAUAUUUAAACUAAUAAUUUAAGUAUUUUAUACAAACUGUUUAAAAUUUAUAGCUUUAAAAUGAUAAUGGUUUACAUCCAACAAUAUAUUAAAAUUAAUAAAUUAAGUAUAAUAUGUUAAAAGUUAAAAAANNNNNNNNNNNNNNNNNNNNNNNNNNNNNNNNNNNNNNNNNNNNNNNNNNNNNNNNAGUUUAUAUAUGAUUACACUUUAGGUUUGAUAUUUAUUUAACCUUAUUAACCAAUUUAUAAUCAUUAUUAGAAAGAAAUUGAAAAGUCAUGGCAGUUUCAAAUGAAUGUGGUGAAAGGAAAAAUGCAUGGGAGUUUCAAAUGCAUGAGAUUCAAGAAAAAAUGCUAGCUUUAUAAGUAUGUAUGAUGUAUGAUAAUGAAUCCAAAUGUAUACAUUAAGUUAUUACAAUAUAAUCCUCCUAAUUCAUCUAUUUAAAUUUUUACUAUACCUAAAACCCACUAUUUAUUUUUAGUCUCCUUUAUUCUAAAAACGAUCUCUUUUAAUCCUUUUUUUAUUCAAAAAUNNNNNNNNNNNNNNNNNNNNNNNNNNNNNNNNNNNNNNNNNNNNNNNNNNNNNNNNNNNNNNNNNNNNNNNNNNNNNNNNNNNNNNNNNNNNNNNNNNNNNNNNNNNNNNNNNNNNNNNNNNNNNNNNNNNNNNNNNNNNNNNNNNNNNNNNNNNNNNNNNNNNNNNNNNNNNNNNNNNNNNNNNNNNNNNNNNNNNNNNNNNNNNNNNNNNNNNNNNNNNNNNNNNNNNNNNNNNNNNNNNNNNNNNNNNNNNNNNNNNNNNNNNNNNNNNNNNNNNNNNNNNNNNNNNNNNNNNNNNNNNNNNNNNNNNNNNNNNNNNNNNNNNNNNNNNNNNNNNNNUAAACUAGAAUAUUAAAAAAAACACUAUAAUUUUUUUAUCCAAAAAAAUCUACGUUUUAGGUGCAUAUAUGAAUAUUUUUUUUCUAGUGAGUAUUUCUAUGUAAUCAAUAAAGACAAUAGUACACGCAUUAUAUUCGAUAAGAUAAUAUAAUAUAAAAAAAAUGUUACAAAAAUACAUAUGUAUAUAUCAUGUAAGAUUCGCAUGUGAUUAUAUAAUGUAAGAUUUACAUGUGAUUAUAUACUAUAUGUGAUUAUAUAAUAUUAUAUUCACAUGUGAUUAUAUCUUCUAAUAUUUUUAUAUGAAUUACAUGUGAAUCAUAUAUAGUUCAUAUGUGAUUCACUUGUGAUUUAUAUGUAAAUUACAUGUGAUUCAUAUGUGAAUUACAUGUGAGUCACAUGUAAUUCAUAUGUGAUUCACUUGUGAUUUAUAUGAAUCACAUGUGAUUAUAUAAUGUAAGAUUCACAUGUGAUUAUAUACUAUAUGUGAUUAUAUAAUAUGAUAUUCACAUGUGAUUAUAUCUUAUAAUAUUUAUAUGUGAAUUACAUGUGAUUUACGUGUGAGUCACAUGUAAUUCAUAUGGGAUUCAUAGGGCUGUGCAUGAGUCGGUUUGGGUCGGUUUUGGACCCCAACCCAACCCAACCCAACCCGUAAAUAAUCGGUUUCUGGUUUUCUGAACCCAAUAGGGUUGGUUUCUGGUCGGUUCGGUUUCUCGGUUUCUGAUAUCGGUUUGGACGGUUUCUCUGUUUCUUGGGUUCAACCCAUACACUUACGGUUUCUGGGUUUAAACCCAUGGGUUUUGGGUUUGAACCCAUUUUCCAGAAAUGCAACAAUUAGUCAAAUAAUUAAAAAACAUCUAAAGCUUCUUUUAUUUAUUUUUAUUAUAUAUAUAUAUAUAUAUAUAUAUAUAUAUAUCUANNNNNNNNNNNNNNNNNNNNNNNNNNNNNNNNNNNNNNNNNNNNNNNNNNNNNNNNNNNNNNNNNNNNNNNNNNNNNNNNNNNNNNNNNNNNNNNNNNNNNNNNNNNNNNNNNNNNNNNNNNNAAAAAUAACAUAUAUAUCAUAAUCUAUAAUGUAAUACAUUAGUGUGUGUGUGUGUAUAUAUAUAUAUAUAUAUAUAAACAUAAAAUAAUUAGUAAAAAGCAUCGGGUUUGCGGGUUUGCUGGGUCGGUUUCUCGGUUUUAAAGAGGGGUCGGUUUCUUGAGUUGUUGGGUCGGUUUCUGGGGGCAAAACCGAAACCGAACCCAGAAAGUCUGUUUUUACAAAUUUAAAACCCACACCGUCGGUUUUGAUUCGGUUUCGGUUUUUUCGGUUUCGGUUUCGUCGGUUUCUCGGUUUCUUGGUUCGGGUUUGCUCACCCUAGUGAUUCACUUGUGAUUUAUAUGAAUCACAUGUAAUUUAUAUGUGAUUCACUUCUGAUUUACAUGUGAAUUAUAUAUGAUUCAUAUGUGGUUUACAUGUGAGUUACAUGUAAUUUAUAUGUGAUUCACUUGUGAUUUACAUAUGAAUCACAUGUAAUUCAUUUAUGAAUUAUAUGUGAUUUACAUGUGAAUCAUAUGUAAUUUAUAUGAGAUUCACUUGUGAUUUACAAAUGUAAUUUAUAUGUGAUUCAAUUUUGAUUUAUAUAUGAAUCACAUGUAAUUUAAAUUAUAAAAUUAAAAAAAUGAUGAAAACAAUAUAUACCAGUAUGGCCUUUUGUAACGAGGCGCCAAUUAAUAACACAAGGCCACACAACACUAAGUAUCUCAUUGAAUAAUAUGCCAUCUGAUAAACCCUUGUCUCGAACAAUGAAAAUUAAUAUAAUUUAUAUAUUAUAUAAAUAUAUUUAAUUAUAAAUUUAUAAUAUAGAGUUUAUUUUUAUAAUACCUUGAAGCUCUUCAUACAGCUCUGGCUUCCAGUGCUUCUGACUUUGGUAUUAGCCCAAUUUAAAAUAUCAACAUUAUUGAAUUCCUUACCAAGUGAAUAAGAUCUUAAGUACUUGAGAAGUUGUAGGAUGUUGAAUCGCAUCAAUUGCCAUAAAUAAGCUUGAAAAGAAAGUAGAGUUACCAUUUUACCAUUUUCAUCACCGAAAGCUAAGAGCACCCACACUGGUGCCAUAUUAAGGUCAUGUUAAUGGUGGACAACUCAUCAUUAUUCAUCCAUUUUUAGAAAGAGAAACUAGUGGGCCACUAUAAAAGUAUUUGCAAGCCUUUCAUAUAUAGGAAGAUGAAGUCCUAGGUGGCCUUAAAUUAUUGCGCAAUAACAUUGUAAUUAUACUUGAAAGACCCGAUGUUGAUGGUCUAACAAAUAAAACAUCGGUUCAAAGUAAACUUACCAAGUAUUAGUUUUUUAUUCCACUGACCAAUAUCAUUUCCAACAAUACUGACUAAUGAUAACUUCAUCUGUUUCCCAAUUUUAACAACUUGGUUACAGUUUUCUAGUUUUUUGAAGGGCAUUUCAAUCAGAGGAUUAUUUGCAACUUUCAAAUUAACAAUUUCUAGUGAUACUUUGUCAAGUGCCUCUAGUAAUACUCACAUAAAGGAAACAAUCAAUGAAAUUAGUCAAAUUACACUGUUAUUAUUAAGUAUAUGGUAAUAAAUAAUAGUUAUAGAUUUGAUACUCACCCAUUUAUGAUAUCUUCAAAGACAUUGUUUAUAUAAGAUGCAACUCCAAGACUAUUUAUGCAAAAACAAAAAACACUUUCUUCUCUAGUGAUUUGGGCUUCAUAUGGUGAAAUUUCACGGAAAGAUACUAGUUUUUCUAGGGUUGAUAGACCAUUCCUACAAAUUACAAUUAUUGCAAUGUUAAAUCAAUAACAAAUUCUAAUUCUGUUUUUUGUUUUAUGAAAUAAAAAACUCACCUGUGUAGGAAAAUAUGAGCCACAAAUGCAAGGUUAAGAUUAGGAGAGCCCUCUACAAUGCCUUUAGCUGUUAAGUAACGACUUCAAGGGGCUUACCUCCAUAUAAAUAACAAGGACCUGGAUCUUUGACUUUAAUGAAAACUUCUUCUUUGUUUCCUUGAAGAUUUCCAUCUCGCAUGUCCCAUCAACAUUGAAGGCAAAUGUCAUAUGACAAGAAGGGUAGCUUCGAUGUGACAUAUUUAGUACCUAAAAUAAAUUUUAAUAUAAUCAACAAAAUUAAAAACUCAAAACUACAGACCAAUAUCAAUUUGAAUGUAAAACUACACACGAAGGAAAGCAUAUGUACACUCGAUAUCAAUAUGCAUGUAAAACAAUCAAUCAUCCUAAUUCAUAUCAAAAAAAUCGAUUAUUAACCUGUACCAUAUAUGAAAAAGUUGUCAAUUACCAAGAACCAUAGCUUGAUAUUCCAUUAGUAGAUUGGAUACCCUAACAUCACCGACUCACAGAGUACAUUAGACGAUUUGUUGAACAGUUGGCGUGCAAUCGCUAAUGUCAAAUAGAUUACGAUCAAAAUGACAAAGCACAACGAUGAAAUGGAGAUACAUCAAUUAGAAAGCAAAAAAAUUGAUAAAAGUAACAACAAAAAACUUGAAUUCUCAUAUAUAAAUAACCUGCGUAAAACUAGAAGAUGUCUCAUAACCACUAUGUUUUACGCUCGUAACCGCAUCAAAUCCGUCUGAGAGUGUCGACCUCGUUGUAGUCAUCGAGAGGAUUCGAUGAGAUUUUGUCAAGGCUAGGGUUGACAAUGGCGAUAAAGACAAUGAUGAUGAACAUCAGGUCCUGUUUUGUAGAGAGAUAAGCAUGAGAGCUAGGAUCUAGAGAGAGAAAGUGAAAUUGAGAGAGCAUUUUUGUGGCAGGAAAUUGAAGCAACGUUGCAAAAGCUCUCUCACAUGGAGGAAGGUGGAAUACCAGAGGAAAGCAAAGAUUUCAACCCUAUGCAAACCGUAGGUAGCCACUCUUUAACAAAAUCCCCAAUGGUGAGGUACAAAUCACCAGCCUCAUCUACAACAUUGUCAUACAACACAUUUCUGAUCAACUUCUCCGAUCAGAUCCUCUGUAUAAAUCCCAAAUUCACAUAAUGAGAAAAAACAUGGGUGGAUGCAGUUCGAUCAAUCCGGGCCCUUCCUUUUCGAGUUGGCAGUACCUGAAACAUAAACUGAAAAUUGUAAGCACAAAGCUUAGUGAGCUCCUCCAAAAUACCCCACACCAUACAUAUAUUUAACAUUCAAGCAUAAUUGGGUCUAUUUCAACCCCUUCAGUCUCUUUCAACCGGCACUGAGUCUAUUUUUAACCCCUUCGGUCUCUUUCAACUGGUACUGGGUAUAUUUCAACCUCUUCGGUCUCUUUCAACUGUUACUGGGUAUAUUUCAACCUCUUCGGUCUCUUUCAACUGGUAUUGGGUAUAUUUCAACCCUUUCGGUCUCUUUCAACUAGUAUCGGGUCUAUUUCACCCCUAAAGCUAGCAUAUAAUCAUAAUAGUAAGAGUUACAAAGACAUCACAAGUAAUUUUCAUGAAGACAAUCAUCAUCCUACAAACAUAAUCUAGUGGUUCGGCAUUGGUGCCUUCGACCCACUAGUACAGUGAAGGGAACUCAACUUUCGAUCGAUAAUCAACUACUACUGCUCUCACGGUCAGCUACACUAGUGCUUCACCACACCUAGAUAAUCAUACAAGGAAAACCUUCAGUCUACCCUUCAAAACCAAGAGUUGACCAAAAGUCAACUCUUAUAAAAAGUCAACGCCUAAGGUCAAUGGUCUACAAUCCUAUCAGUUCACCCUUACAUCGUGACUUGUUCUCUGGUCACGUCGUGAGAAUGGACUUGACCCGGACCCAUUCAGUGAGUCGACUCAGUCACAACUCAUCCAACCAGAUUCCUCAGAUCGAUACAACCUCACUUCUCACAUCAUGAGAUUCCUAUUUCUCGCGUCGUGAGAUAUGUUUUGACCAACUUGGAGCAUUAAGCUCUUAAUCCUUUAAGACAUUCAUUGGGACUUUCUAGAAGACCUUCCUCGAUCAUAAGGACUAUAAAAAUUGUAGCUUUUUGGUCAUGCAUGUCCAAUGCAUGACAUAGAUACUAACUAGGUCAAAAGAAAGGUAAUAAGAUCAAGACUCAUACUUGGAGUCUAAAACCAUCACCAAAACUCAUACCCAAAGCCUCAUAUACAAAAGAUGUCUUAAGGAUCCAUAAAGUUGCCAAGUUUAUGGAUCCCAUGCAUACUACACAACCCAACCAUGCAAAGAAAGCUCUCACAACCAAGAUCUAACAUGCAAGAGACUAAAAGGUAAGAGUUUUAUGACCUAUAGAGGUCCAAAAGCUCAACAAGACCAAGAGGUAGAAGCUAGAUUGCCAAAAUGAAGCACCACAAGAGUCCUCUUCCCUUCAAUAGGCCAAAAACCACCAAAUAAGCUCUUCAAGGUCACCAACAAUGGCCAAAAGUCUCAAGGAGGUCGAAUCUAGGGUUUUUAGGAGGCUUGAGAGUAAGAGAGGCUAAGGAUGGGCAACCUUAGGUCUCUUAUUCCAUUAAAUAAUCGACAAUUAGGGUUUUGGAUUGUCAGACCUUUCUCAUGUCGUGAGGCCUCAAGCUUACGUCGUGAGGUUCAAGAAUAUGGGUCAAAUGGUCAAUGUUCAUUCACGUCGUGACCACCAUGUCUCACGUCGUAAGACCUCCUCCCAAAAUGCGAGAAUUCAAUAAAUUAAGUACCCCAAAGAUUCAGAUGCUACAAAUCCCCUCACUUGAAUCAGACUUCGCCCUUGAAGUCGCCACUGCAAAUAACUCUAGAUAAUGCUCACUCAUUUCAUCCUCAGACCUCCAUGUCCAUUUUGAACCCUUUUGAUGCUGUAAGUGCACCUUCACCGAUGUGACAACCCGAAAUUUCCAUUGUACGAACCUCAUCGAUUCAAUAGAAGCUAGUUCAGUUUCUGUGAAUUUCAAGCUUGUCCGAACAAACUUUGUGUACAUUAGGGUUUAUGUUUUAGAUGAUAUCAGGAGAGUGGAUACUCCUGGUUUUGUGAAACUUGGGCAUUUCAAGUUUCAUACUGUUACAGUCCAACAUCAGGAAUGAAAAUAUUUUCUGCCAAAAUAUUCCAGGACUAUAAAUAGUUUUCUGAAUUAAAUUAAUUCAUUAUUCACAAUUCCAAAUAGAGAAAAGCCAUAUUCUCUCUGACGGAUCUUCGGGUUUUCAUCCCAGAUUGUGAGUCUACUUUUCUAUAUGUGGUUGAGAGGCGGAAUCGAACCUUGUUGGACAUGGUUCGUUCCAUAAUGAGUCGAGCUUCGUUACAAAUCUCAUUCUAGGGGUAUUCCUUGGAUACUGUCGCCCAUAUCCUUAAUCUAGUCCCUACCAAAAAGGUUGCCAAAACUGUGACAUCCCCAUUUUCAUGGCCAGAAAAGACCGAUUUUGUUUAUGCUUAAUUAAGAUCAAAGUACUUCUUUUAAUAAAAAUGUUGCAGAAUUUGUUCCCAAAAAAACAUGAUAAAUGUGUUAUCAAAGCAUUUCCGAAGAAAUAUAUUUUUAUUCCUUUUAAAACCUUGGGAUGUCAUCGUCAAUAUAGAAACAUAAGCAUAAGUAGAACUUACAUUCCUUUACACUAGUGAUCUACAUCUCUUUUAUAUCUCUCAGUGUAAAGUAGCUUCGUAUCGACACCUGUGAUACAAAUAAGCUUGAGUGGGUCAGGUUGGGAAACCCGGUGAGUACAUAGGGUUUUCAACCCACAAUAAUAUAAUUAUUAUGUUUAAACAUCAACAAUCAACCAAACUACCCAUCCCCAUUAUCUUCCUUACUCUUAAGGAUCUACACUAAUAAUCAUUUAUCCUGCAUUUGUUCAUUUCGAAGCCCAUUACUUCCAGGGUUUAUAUGAUAGGCACUAAGUCCAUAGUUGCCAAUGUUUAUUCGUAAAGCACUAAUUCCUUAGCUACUAAAGUUCAUUCAUCUGGUACUAAAUCCAUAGCUACAAGUGUUCAUCUAAUAGGUACUAAAUCCAUAUCUACCAAUGUUUAUCUAACAGGUACUAAGUCCAUAGCUACCAACGUUUAUUCAAAUGCCACUAAGUCCAUAUUUGCCGAUGUUAUUUAUUAGGCACUAAGUCUAUAGUUGCCUAUGUUCACUCAUAUCAUCCUUCAUCUCUCAUCUUUCAUCUACCCAUGUUUUACCCAAAAUAUUCAUGGAUAUAAAAUACAUAUACAUUUUAAAUCAUUUAAAACUUGUAUAAAAUCGUUCAUCCAACAUAGAUAGCAAGUAUACAGAUAAUAUGCACACAUAGCACGUAGUUUAUAUAAAAUACUUCAUAUCUAUAUGUAAUAUGGAAGUAACUAUGCACUCACUUGUUAAAUUGAUGAUUCCAAACUCGGACAGCUAUGACAUCCCCAUUUUCACGGCCAGAAAAGACCGACUUUGUUUAUGCUUUGUUUGAAAAUCAGAGUAACAUUUUAAAUAAAAGUGUUGCGGAAUUUGUCCAAAAACAAAAUAUGAUAAAGAUUUAUCAAAAGCAUUUCCGAGGAAAUGUAUUUCAUUAAAAGACUUGGGAUGUCAUGUUUGAUACAGAUCAAAAGCAUAAACAGUACAAUAUAAGCCUUACUACAUUAUUUCGUAUCUACAGGCCUAUAUCCGUAAUCCCUCAUCCCAAAACAUCACAUCUAUGCUCAUGCGCCACUACCUGUAAUACAAGAAACUGAGUGGGUCAGGCUGGGGAGCCUGGUGAGCACAUAGGGUUUUCAAUCCACAAUAAAUAAGUUUAUUAAUUUCAUCAAUCAACAAUAACCCGAUUACCCGUUCCCGUUAUCCUCACUUUACGUCCCUAAACACCUAUCAUAAGGGACCUAACCUAAGGAUCAUCAUCGGGAUGGACACUACUGCUAAGGGGAUUCCUUAGCAAUAAAUGUCCUAAAGGCAACCAUGUGGGGGAUGGAGUACACCGGUGAACACAUCGUUCACAAACACCUACAGGUUGCGAGCCUGCUAGUGUUCCACUGGACUGUCUAGAAGAGUCCGUGGUCGUCAUCCAUACUCCGCUAGAUGACAGAAUCAACAACAUCAACAUCGAGGCCUCUCAUCAUUUUAUCACACAUCACCUAUUACAUCUACCCAUGUUUUACCCCAACAUUUUCGUAGAUAUAAAAUACAUAUACAGUUUAAAUCAUUGAAAACAUGUAUAACAAUGUUCAUCCAGCAUAGAUAGCAAGUAUUCAGAUAAUAUGCACACAUAGCACGUAAUUUAUAUAAAAUACUUCAUAUCUAUGUGUAAGCUGAAAGUAACUAUGCACUCACCUGAAAGGUGGUGACUCAGCACUCGGACGGCGCUUCGAUACUCUCAAAACGAUUUUCCUUCGAUAAAACCUAGUACCAAUACCACUAGGGUUUAGUCUAACGAUAACUGCGACAAUUUAAUUAGUCUGACUAUUAUUAUAAUUAUAUAAGCGUUAAUAACACUCAAUAUAACUCAUAAUAAUAGCCCAAAUAAUUAUUUUAAGGACCUAAUAUCAUUCCUAUAAUUAUUUGAAAGCUAUAUUAAAAAUUACGUAAGCGUAGCUCACUUACAGCGUAUUUUAACGAAAACUGGAACUUUAUUUGAAGCAGCGUUUUGAAACCGAAAGGCUCUUUUNAGACUCCUUUUUCUCGAGACUCCGGGAGCCUCGGGGCUUCUUUAGGGUGCUAGGGGGUUUAUCUAGGGUUUAGGGGUGGUUUGGGGUCUUAGAGAGAGAAAGAGAUUUGGUGUGAAAAAUGAAGCUGCCUUCGCUGCCUUUUUAUAGCCUGCGAGGCCUCGGUACGCUGGGCGUACCUCAGACCUACGCUGGGCGUAAUGGCUCGGUCGUACUACACGCGACGCUUCGCUGCUGGGUCAUCGUGGCACUCCUCCGAACCGCUCAAUCCGAAGUCAGCUGGGCGUAGCCUUCUUCCGACGCGGGGCGUACUCGGACGCAGGGCGUUCCUGUCGUACGCGAGGCAUAGCGAGGCCAGGUGUCCAAAUCCGAAGACCAGACCGUGAUCCGCAAGCUACGGCCCUGAUCGAGCCACGUCAUCACCCAUUGCACUAGCUUCGCAAAUUCGAGUUACAACUUCAAAAAUUCGUAACUUUUGUGUACGACCUCCGUUUUCAACGUUCUUUAUAUCCACACGAAGGUGGGAACGUACUCUACAACUUUCGUUUAGACUCCGUCGGCUAAUUUUGACUCGAUUUUAAAUUUUAUUUUAUUAACAGGCCGGGACAUGAUUGGUCCGUUAAAUCCUCAUAACUUCUUCAUCCGACGUCCGUUUUCGCCCAUCCUUUUCUCGUUACGCUACUCUUAACGAGAUCUUCGAUUCUCGUUUAGGUCGUGUUGGUUAAAAAUCACUCGAUCUAAUAUUCGAAUUUCGGGCUGUACACUACUAAUCCGAAACUUCGAAAAAUCAUAACUUCUUCAUACGAAGUCAGAUUUGGGCGUUCUUUUUAUCGAUGUUCUUAGUUUAACAUAUUCUACGAAUUUCGUUUAGAUCGCUAAGGCUAAAUCUCGCUCUAUCGUAAAUUAACUAUUUACGCUUCCCGGUAUCGUGUCGGUUCUGUCGCGAAACUUCGACGGGUCAUAACUUCUUCAUUAUAACUCGGAUUUCGGUUCUGUCGGGCUUAUCUCACACUUUAAUUUUGAUGCUUAUUUUUAUUCUGUAUUAAGUAUACAUUUAUAAUUAAAUAUAUAAACACAUAAACACACAUAAUUCACAUAAUACUCAAAUAUUUCAUCUUUAUUACUUCAAAAAGAGUUACAAUUGUUGACCUAGACUAUUACAUCGACAAAUAUGCUUAGCCCUGAAACCCGGGCGUUACAACAGCGCUUCGCUUCUAACGAUUCUAUUUUUCCUUCGACGAAACCUAGCAUUAUUAUCGCUAAGUUUUUAUAGUAUAAUCUUUAUUGUGACUCAUUAACUCAAAGUCUACUUCAUGAUCUAUCAAGUAAGGAACAACCACGUAGGAUCAUAUCAGAGGUAAGGUCCGUUUGGUAUACGAAAUAUAUUGUUUGGAAAUCCCACUUUAAACACCUCACUAAAUCACAACCUAGACAUCAUUCCCGUAAGUAGAUCAAUCAGUAUAACAACUUUGAAUCACUGAUAAAUCUUAUUUCUAGGUUCAUAAUAAUGAUAUUAUAUUUAAAUAUAAGAUAUAUUUAAAGUAUGGUAGGCUUAUUUGACUUACGGCGGGUUUUAUUAAAAACCGGGCUCCGCUGGAGCAAAGCUUCUAAGCCGAAAAGCUCUUUUUCUCGGAGCCUUCGUGCACUCCAAGGCUUUCUUCUAGCGCUAGGGAAGUUUUGUAGGCUUUAGGGGGGGGGGGGUUAGGGAGUCUAGAGAGAAGUUAGAUAGAAAAAGAAAGGCUUAUGGUGUGAAGAAAAUAUGAAGAGUUCAUCUCUUAUUUAUAGGGGUUUUAUCGUAGAGUAGGCCCUAAAUUUUGUCCGCAUCUUCCGCUUACGAGCUCCGUUUUCUACGUUCUUUGUAUCCACGCGUUGGUAUUUAUGAUUACUACAACUUUCAUUUAGACCUCGCCGACUAAUUCUCAUUAUAUCUCCGAUUUGCAAACCUGUAUCGAAUUUAUCACGCUCGAAGAGUAGGGACUAAGUUUCAUCCAUAUCUUUUUCAUACGAGCUCUAUUAACGACGUUCGUUAUAUCCACACGUUGUUAUUUACAAGUAACACAACUUUUAUUUAGAUGCCGUCGGCUAAUUCUCACUAAAUCUCAGAUUUACAAAACUGUAUCGAAUUCGCCGCGCUCGAAGAGUAGGGACUAAUUUUCGUCCAUAUCUUUUGCAUACGAGCUCCGUUUCCGACUGUCUUUUUAUUUUUGAACUCCUAUUAACGAUAUCUUCAUUUCUCGUUUAGACGUUUUUGGUUAAAAAUCGACCGAUCUAAAAUUCGAAUUUCGGGUUGUGCACUCCUAUGCUAAAUCUUAGAAAAAUCGUAACUUCCUCAUACGAAGUCAGAUUUGGACGUUCUUAUUAUGCACACUCCCGGUUUAACAUAUAAUAUGACUUUUGUUUAGAUUGCUAAGGCUAGAAAGUAUUUUAUCAUAAAUUCACUUUUUACGAUUCUCGGUGUCGUUCCGGUUUUGCCGUAAAACUUCGACGGGUCAUAACUUCUUCGUUAUAACUCGGAUUUCGGCGUUCUUUAUAUGUACGGAACCCUUGUGACAUAUACUAUAACCAGGUUAAGAUUAAUACUUCUAAAUAAUCUUCCAUCAAAAAGUCAUUUUUGACGCUCAUUGUCUCUAAAUUGACUAGCUCGAAUCUGAAGGCGUUAAAGAAACACAUCACGAGAUGUGGAGUAGGAAGGAUCCCAUAUUUGAUCACAUAAAGGUUUGGGGUUGCGAGGCUUUCGUGAGAUACGAUACUCAUGAAAAUCUCGAACCUCACAGUGAGCGGUGUAUUUUCAUUGGCUAUCCACAGAAAUCCUUUGGUUAUCUCUUCUAUAGACCGAGAGACAAUGUUGUCUUCGUUUUGAGGAGAGGAAUCUUUCGCGAGAGAGAGCUCAUAGGCCAAGGAGACAUUGGGAGGCAGAUUGACCUUGAAGUACUUCAAGUGUCAAGCGGUGAAGGAACCUCAAACACUAGCAAUCAACCUGAGGAGGAAACUCCUGUUGAGCCGAAUGACGAGUCUGUACCUCUGAGGCGUUCCGGUAGAGUUAGAGUUCCACCUGAGUUUUAUGGUUUCCAUAUUACUGUAAAAGGAGAUACAUUUAUCAUUGAUAACACACUGGUAAAUUUGGAUUAACCUAACAACUAGAAGGAAGCCAUGACAGGCCCCGAGUCUGCUAAAUGGAAAGAGGCUAUGGACAGCAAGAUUCAUUCCAUGUAUGACAAUCAAGUUUGGAACUUGGUUGACAAUGUACCGGGUCGUAAGACAGUCGGGUGCAAAUGGAUCUUUAAGAAGAAGACUGACAUGGAUGGGAAGGUACAUACUUAUAAGGCGCGACUGGUUACGAAGGGCUUUACUCAAACUCCGAGAGUUGAUUAUGAUGAGACUUUCUCACCAGUAGCGAAAAUUAAUUCUAUUUGGGUUAUGCUAGCCAUUGCUGCAUUUCAUGAUUAUAAAAUCUGGCAAAUGGAUGUCAAAACCGCUUUUCUUAAUGGAAAGUUGGCUGAGGAUGUUUACAUGAAUCAGCCAGAGGGUUUUGUCGAUGCAAAGUACCUUAAUAGAGUGUGUAAGUUUGAGAAAUCCAUUUAUGGAUUGAAACAAGCAUCUCAUAGAUGGAAUAUUUGUUUCGAUGAGAAAGUCAAAUAUUUUGGAUUUUCGAGAAGUGAGGAUGAGUCCUGUGUAUAUGUCAAAGCUAGUGGGAGCAUAGUUAGCUUUCUGCUAUUGUAUGUGGAUGACAUACUACUCAUAGGAAACGACAUCCCAACCUUAUAAGAGGUUAAGUCCUGGCGUGGGAAGUGUUUCGCCAUGAAGGACCUCGGAGAAGCUACCUAUAUUCUUGGGAUAAGGAUAUUGAGAGACAGGAGUAAGAGACUAAUUGGACUUAGUCAAAGUACCUACUUGGAUAAGGUGUUGAAAAGAUUCAGCAUGCAGGAUUCCAAGAAAGGUGACUUACCGAUGCUGAGUAAUGCCACACUGAGUAAAGCUCAGAGUCCGAGUACAUAGGCUGAGAUAGCUGAGAUGAGUCGAAUACCAUAUGCGUCAGCUGUUGGCUCGAUCAUGUAUGUUAUGACUUGUACUCGCCCUGAUGUGGCCUUUGCUUUGAGCAUGGUCAGCAGAUAUCAUGGGAAUCCUUGCAAGGCUCACUGGACUGUAGUAAAGAACAUUCUCAAGUACCUACGAAGGACUAAGGACUGGGUCCUUAUCCUCAGUGGGAGUGAUGACUUAAGAGUGGUGGGGUAUAGCGACACCAACUUUCAGACCGACAGGGAUAAUUUCUGCUCUCAGUCGGGCUGGGUCUUUGCCCUAAAUGGAGGAGCAAUAACAUGGAAAAGUUCCAAGUAAGAGACAGUAGUUGAUUCAACUUGUGAAUCAGAGUACAUAGCAGCAAGCGAGGCGGAGAAAGAAGCAAUAUGGAUGAAGAACUUCAUUGGAGACCUUAGAGUUGUACCAGCUAUAAAGGAGCCUAUGGAGAUUUUAUGUGACAACGAGAGUGCAGUUGCCUUAGCUAAGGAACCAAGGGAUCAUGACAGAUCCAGGCACAUCGACAAAAAAUACUACUUCAUUAGACAUCGCAUAGAAGGACUCCUCAUGGCAAAGAGGGUAUCGUGUGAUGAGAACCCAGCAGAUCCAACACGAAGAGACUGAGUAGGGUUAAGCAUCUGUAGCAUGCGAGACGCAUCGAGCUGAAGGACGAUAUUGGUUUAAUGAUUAGAUAGCUUUCGAAACUUGUAAUAGUUGAAAUGUAAUUGACAUUUGAUGCUUAAAUAAAUGGUUCUUUUUAUUUACUAGUAUGGUAUUGUCUUAUGUCAAUCAUUUACUAUUGUUUCACUUUGCAUGUUUUGACUUCUAGAAUAAUUAUAUUAUUCAAACUAUCCACAGUCGAUCAUAUGUUGGAAGUAGGUAUUGAAACAAGACUGUCAUGAAUAUUGGCUUGUAGAUUUUUCUGAAUUGUGUUAUACAUAGCAAAGUUUACUGCAACAUUCAUGAGUGCUCAUAAGGUCUGAGUAUUGGAUUUAACCUGAGCUCACUUGUAUCACUUCAUGGAAUUUAUCUCAAGUGACCGUGAGACGAUAAUAUCAUAUAAGUCUUCAAACCAAGAUAUAUGAGUUGUUGACUAUGAGUUGGUUGUGCAUUGAUAGUACGAAACCACUUCAGUAACUUGAUGCUAUAAAACGUGUUGUUGUGUAUAAUUUGAUAAGUAGUUAGUACAAGCAUAUGAUUCGCAGUUUAUCCGUUCCUUUUGGGCCUUGGGGGCUUAAAAGUGAUAUCUUGGGCCCCUCUAUGAUUUUGAUUUGACCUAUGUGUCAGGCCCGGUCAGAACUGAAUUGAUGUGUUCGAUUAAGUUCUGUGUCAAUCAAAUCGGAGAUUGAGAAACAAACUGCUAGACAAUAAGUAUGACGUUGUUCCAUGUAUUUGUCCGGAUGAUAUCUUGAGAACAGAGGAUUAUAUGAUCACUUAUCUAAAAUGGAGCGUCUCAGUUUGACAUAGGCUUUUAAGAGCUACGAUUGCUAGUCGGUGUUUUAAGUCGUACUUGCAGUUAUAGUUAUUAGACUUAUCCAAGUGGAAGACCGUUGGAUUUAGUGUCUAAGCCCAUAACUAUAAUUGGUAUGUACUUGACGCAAGAGUAGCAUGCUCCAUUUGGGUUGCAUGGCAUCGAAACAAUUUGUAAGGAUGGACUUUUAAGAAGAGGAUAUUUAUGAUUUAUUAAUAUAUUAUAAGUUAUAAUAUAUUAAUAUGAAAUCAUAUUAUUUAGUUAGUACUGAUCAAGAAUUAAUUUGGAAUUAAUUUUACAAACAAAAGAGACUAAUUAAAUAUAUGGGGAUUGAUUGUGUAAAUCAUUCAUUCUUAUAAAGUGGGCUUAUGAUGCAUAGUUCUUUAUGUUGGGCUAAACCCAUGUGGUGACCCAUGGAUACUCCAUGGAGGUUAAAACCCAUGGAGCCUAAGGAAUGUGGAAAGACAUGCACAUUAGGGUUUGCAAGCUGUAACCCUAGUUGUGUCACACUAUAUAAUCAACCUCAUGGCAACCAAAAUCGGUACUUAAGUGAGAUACAAGAGGGCUAGCCGAUUUUGUUUGUGCAAGACAAUCUCUUCUCAAGCCCUCCAUUGUGGGUGGUGAUGUGUGAAGCAUUUGAGGCAUCACACUUGGGGUGCUAGGCUCUUAAAAUCUUAAGGUUUCAAAGAUACACCCAAGGUAAGUCAUCUAACUAGAUUUUUGUAGUUUAUAUACUCCACAGUAUGCUAGUUAGGAUGAUGCAUUGGAAAAUUGAAAGUUUGCAUGUAUAAUAGAGAAAACAUAGAUCCAAGGCAUCGAGGGUUACAUGUACACCAUAGGAGUGUUAGAAUUCUCAAAACCCUUCAGAUAUCAGAUAAAACACAUAUAAGACCAUAGGGACUAAUACCAAAUAAAACCCUCAGGGUUGUGACUUCCCUGCUACGCGUAUGGGUCCCUUGCUUCCAGUAGUACGAGCCCAUACUGCCUUCGCACGUACGCGUAUUUAUCUCAGAGGAACAUCACAACAACCCUAACAAUACACACUUGCAUACGCAUACACUCUAUCCUCACUUCCUAGAGGAAGGCUAAACAUUACACAACUGAUCGACAUACCCUACACAAUUAAUCAAACAUAACAUUGGAUCCGAUAGAAAGUUAAAUACAUGAUUCUACCCUAAACUCUUCAUCAAACAAGAACAGGAAAUAAGGCUAAAUCAAACAUUCUCAGGCUAUAAAAUCUUAGUUAUGUACAAUUUUGAUUCAUACACUAAGCAACUACGUUAAUGAUGUCAAUUUUAUAUAAGGAAGAACCCUUGGCUAUCAGACAUCAUAUAAUCAGGCAAUUCUAUCAUGUAAUUCCUAAAUAUCCCUAGCCUAUCACUAGCAUGUUGUUCUAAAAUAUCACAAUAUCAAAUAACAGUGUGGUAAUUUGAGGUCUACUUAUUGGCUAUGGCCGAUCGUACGCAUCACAUCCUCUUUUGAUUAUUUUGAAAACGCUUUGAAAUUCAUUUAUAAAAACUUUUCCUUAGUUUGAGACUAGAUUUACAUGAGUGUUCCUCCAGUUCACUCAAACCAAGGCUCUGAUACCAACUUGUAACAUCCAUAAAAUCACAAUAAAUUUAAACGUUUAAAAUCAACCCAAAUUCAUAAAUUGUUUAUAAAUCAUAGUUUUCAAAACAUUUUCCAAACAUCAGAGUCUACCAAAAUCAUAUGUCAUAAAUAAGAGAAUGUGUACGGUCAUGCCUUCGCCUUCCUGUGAUCAUCUGAAGUACAUGAAAACAUAACCCAAAAGUAUAAGUCAAUUGCCUAGUGAGUUCCCCCAAAGCACCACCACAUACACAUAAUAACAAACAACAUGCAUAUAGAGCCUUCCUCUUGACUGGAAUGUCGCACCGACCUACAGACUAUCCAGACCGCUCAUAGAACCUUCAGCAUGACUGGAACACCUCACCGGUCCUUCAGCCUAUAUGGACCGUUCUUUGGGCCUUCGACAUGAAUGGUACGCCUCUUAGACCUUAGUCUUUCCGGGCCGCCCUGGGUCUCUUGGCCUUCAGUCUACAGUAGUCCGCCUCAACCCAACCAUAACAAAUAAACAUACAUAUAACUAGUCAACAGACAAUCAGGCAGAUCCACAGAUCAUUAAGCAUAACAUCAUCCUAUACACCAGGAUACCGAUCUAACAGAUCACUACAGCACGAUAACAUACUAUCACAAAACAAGAUAUCUAAUCCAGUGGGCUGCCCUUGGUGCCUUGAACCCAUAAGUACAGUGAGGAAAACUCACCUCACAGAUUGGACGAAAGUUGAUGAGGUCUCGACUCCGAAUCUCAGCUCUCUAACCGUCACCUAUCCAACCAAAUGACUAACCACAAUCAAAAUCCCAAAACAUCCUUGGGUCAUACUUGGUCAAAGUCACAAUCAAAUUGGUCAAAUCAAAUGAGUCAACUGAGUCAACCCAGCCAAGACACCACAGAGUGAGUACGCGGGGCGUUCUCCAAAUAUAUGUUGGGCAUACUCGAAUGUUGACCACCGUCGGGGUGGUUGACCAUGUGCGCGGUGCGUACUCAAGGUAUACGGGGCAUACUCCCAGAUUCCCAAACCAUUCAUUAAGACCUUAAUUCUUAAGCUCUCAUGUCCAUCUUUCAGAUCCUUGGUUAAAAUACCCUCAAGAGUCAUAAAUUUUCCAACUUUAUGAAUUUGCAUGUCCAUUAAGUGCUUAACUCAACUUCUUAAUCCAUCAAGACCUUCUAAAUGAUGCAUGGAGCAAAACCGACCAUUUGGAACCCAUUUUAACGACUUAAGACCCUUCCAAGGGUCUGAAAGGACAACUUAAGGGGUCAAGAACAAGCUAUGUUCAUGAAUCUCCACAUUUGGGACAAAAAGGACCAAAAACCAUUCCAACACAAGAUCUAAAUGAAACUUCACCAAGUUCAGAACAUGAUGCCUCAAAAUGGUGCCGAAAGGUGGUGUGAUCCUGGAUCCAAAGAGCUUCACUCCUCCAAGGUGGUCUCUCAUUCCUUCCUUUUAUUUAAGAGCACAAAACACACACUCCCAUGCUUAGAAAUGCUUCACAAGAUAGAUUGGCAUUGUAAAAACGUUUCAAGAGGAUGGAGGUUGAGGAAGUGAGGGGAAAUGUGGCUAUAAUGGGGUUUAAAUAUGAACCAAACCCUAAAAAUUAGGGUUUACAUGUCUGGCACCUAUGCCCUAUAUACAUAUGUAUGCCCUAGUACGCUUAGCAUACAUACAUACACAUGGUGUUCUCCCCAAACUCCCAAAUUACAAAAUUCCACUUGGGCCUUCCUUAAACCCAUUCAUAUACUUAGGGACAAAAAUGCAAUAUCAUUCAGUUAUAAGGUAAAAAUUACAAGUACCUUAUCAUCGAGAUGUUACAGUUUGUUUCAAGUGGCUUCAACUGCCUCGAGGCGUACACCAUCACUUCACCCUACUGCAUCCGAACUGCACCCAAUCCCAUGUUUGACGCAUCACAAUAUACCAUAAAGUCCUCAACAUCCUCUAGCAGGGACAAAAUCGAUGCUUCACAUAAUCUCUGUCUCAGGGUAUUAAAAGAUGCAUGCUGCUCAGGCCCCCAAAGAAAAGUGAUGGUCUUCUUCAUCAAUCGAGUCAAAGGAACCGCUAUCUUGGAGAAAUCAUGAAUGAAUCUUCAAUAGUAACCUACCAAUCCAAGGAAACUUCGAAUCUCAGAUUGAGACCUCGAAACCUCCCACGUCAUCACUGCCUCAACCUUGGCCGGAUCGACCAGAAUGUCGCUCUGGUUGACAAUGUUUCCUAGAAACUACACCUUAUGCAACCAGAACUCACACUUGGAGAACAUUACAUAUAGUCUCUCCCUCCUCAGAGUCUCCAAUACCUCCCUCAGAUGCUCCUCAUGUUGCUCUUGAGUCUUGGAAUAGACCAGGAUGUCAUCAAUAAAUACAAUCACAUACCGAUCAAACAUGGUCCUGCACACACGAUUCAUGAAAUCCAUUAAGGUGGUCGGAUCAUUGGUGAUCCCGAAAGGCAUCACCACGAACUCCUAUUGACCACAACGAGUCCGGAUGGCCGUCUUCUGCAUGUCCUCCUGUCUGACUGUCAUCUGGUGAUAACUCGAAUGUAAAUUAAUAUUGGAGAACCAAGAUGCGCCCUAAAGUGGAUCAAAUAAAUCGUCGAUCCUCGGGAGCGGGUAACGGUUCUUUACCGUUAGCUUAUUCAGCUCCUGGUAGUCAAUACACAUCCGAUGCAUCACAUCCUUUUUCUUCACAAAUAAGAUCGGCGCUCCCCAUGGUGAACUACUUGGUCAAAUAAAUCCCUUUUAUAGCAGCUCCUACAGCUACGUAGAUAACUCCUGCAUCUCUGGAUGUGCUAAACGAUAAGGUGCCUUGGCUAUCGAAGCCACACCUGGAACCAAAUCAAUCAGAAAUUCCACUUGCCUCUCUGAAGGCACUCAUGGCACGUCCUCCAGGAACACAUCUGGGUACUCCCAAACAAUCAGUACAUCACCUAUGGUCAUAUCACCCUUCUCCCGGAUAUCCGUCACAUAGGCCAAAACCCGAAACAUCUUUGCUGUAGAUAACGCUCUGCUCUGGAUGCUGAACAUAAAGUCGGCCCACGCUAAGCACCCUCACCGUGGAUCACCAACUCUCCCCCACUUGGGGUCCAAUCACAUACCAACUGAAUCCUGCAAUCAAUCAUCGCCCCAUUAGGGCUCAACCAAUCCAUCCCCACAAUGACCGUGCUCUCGUGCAGGAGAAUGAAAACCAAGUCAGUCAGAUAUUGGUCACUAAAUAACUCCAAAGUGCAUCCCCGGUGAACCCUCCACACUCGCACCGGAAGAUCAUCCAUUAUUUCAAACUCUAGUGGAUAAUCCAACUCUCCAGGGACAUUGUCGAACCUCCUGCUAAGCGCAAGGGAUACAAAAGAUCGGGUAGCCCCCGAAUCGAACAAGACCAAUGCAAGAAUACCGAUCACAAGGAACGACCCAAAUAAAAAAUAUAAACAUAUAAGCAUGAAAAAUAACAUAACUAAGUAGAUAAGGAGAAAAUACAUACCAGUGACCACAUCGGGUGCUGCAUGAGCCUCCUCGACUGUCACCUGAAAUUCCUUGCUCUGAAUAACUGGUGCCUCUGCCUUCCCCAGGCCACUAUCAGGGAUCCUUAGAAUCGUCGGAGCAGGUGCUGAAAUUGGUCCUCCUGAUACUAAACCCAGGCAGUUGGCCUUCUUAUGCCCACUCUGAUUGCAAUGGAAACAAAUCAGAUCUGGUAUCUCGUUGGUGGUGGUGGUAGCAGUACGAUCCUUGUGAAAAUGCCAUGUCUUGCUACACUUAUAACAGCCCGAACCACCCGCCCUACAGAGCCCAUCAUGUGUCUUGUUGCACUUUCCACAGUUGCCCCGUCCCUGCUGGCCCUUCAAUCUAGAAUCGAAACCCAUGGUUUCCUUCACUGAAACCCCGAUAGUCUGCCCAUGCUCUGCCUUCCUCUUCGCUAUAUGCCCUAAUCAAUCUCCCGUUCCUGAGACUUGGAUAUCAUGUCAUCCAGUUUCGGGUAGGCGGAAAAACUGACAAACUCCCAAAUAUCUUAUCUCAACAUUUCAUGGUACCGAGUCUUUCGCUAUCCUCAUUUGUAGCAUAAUGAGGUACCAAUAGGUCUCUCUCUCUCUAAACUUGGUGGUGAUCUCCGCCACGGUCUCAGUCGUCUGCCGCAUAUCUAAAAACUCUAUCGCUAGUUGUUGCCCCUUAACAAUUGGUGUAAACUCCACUCGAAAUCGGGUAACAAAAUCUAUCCAGGUAAAGGCCUCAAUGGAUGGGGAUCCUAGAGUAUAGCCAACCUCCUCCCACUAAUCUUGAGCUCGCUCCAUCAAACAUCCUGCAGCGAACCUCACCUUCGACCCUUCGAGGUAGAAGCUUAUCAUUUGGGCACACUUAGUAUCUACUAGACAACACCUGGCAGCAAUAAGGUCAUUCACCCCAAAUGAUUCUAGUGUCCCACAUCCGCAGAAAUCCCAAAAGGAGAGAAUGUGGGCCCCAGACUGGCUAGCGGCCAGAUUGGCCAUGAAGAUCUGAAGGUGAUCCUCCAUCAGCUCCAUGAUACCCUCCUUGACCGACCCAAACAUCACUGGGGUCGCAUAAAGGAUGCCUCUAGUAGCCUCUGAUGCAAUGAACUCAUGUAAUCCCUCAUCCAUUGGUUAGAUGCCCAUGCCCGAACCAGAUCUAAAUCUUGAACCCCGUGCUCCAUUACGUGUCACCACUAUGCUGAAACAUAACCACAUAAACAAUCAGUAAACACAUAGAGAGGUUCACACUCUCAAGCUUCCUAGAUUCAUCAUGGUCUUCCUGGUCUCGGGUAUAAAUAUUGUUCUUCCAUUACUACGAGCCCAAUACUACCUUCCAUACCUAUCUAUACCCUCCUCAAGGACUAACCCGACUCCUCCAAGUCACUAAUACCUAUCUAAUACACUGCUCAUACUAUAAGGCAUCCUACGCGCCAUUACAUACUCCAGGAACUUCCCGGGGUUCCUUUCCUCACCACUCUCUACUAUCAGCUACAGAAUGAACUUCCACUAAUACCAUCUAACCACCAUACAAAUACAAUUAUAUACUAUCGAUACUAGAUAAUGAUUUGAAUGAAAGGUCCCACACUACAACGGUUGGACUCAGACAAGAGCUGCACAAUAGAGUUAAACAUAUCCUUCUAAAGUUAUCUAAUCCCAAUAAUGUUGGAAUAGUGUCUAAGGCUACAACUAUAUUAGGCAAGUAUUUGACCCGAUUGUGCAUGGUCCUUUUGGGUUGCCUUCACCAUAGCAACUUGAUAGGAUGAUUUAUUAUGAGAGAAUAAAUAUUAUUAAUAUAUUAUGAGAAUAAUAUACAGAAUAAUAAUAUUGUUAUUUGAUUAAUAUAAGUCAUAAAUUAAUUAAUAUUAACUUGGUGACUUAAAGAGAUUAAUUAAAUAAGAGGGUAUAAACUGUCAAUUGUUUGAUAGUUACACUUUAGACUGUAAAUCCUUAAGGGAUAAGGGAUGGGCGGAUUCUAGGGCUUAGGAUAGCUCAAAAUCGUCCAAGGCUUAUCUAAGGUAAGGAUUUGGAUUGCUUUAAGGAAAGAUUAUCCAACUAGGGUUUAAAGGUGAAACCCUAAGGAGUCUACAAGUAUAAAUAGAUCCCUUGAGCAAGGGAAAUCGGCAUCUCAUCUAAAGUAGAGAACCCCUGGCCGAUUUCCUCCCAACCUCUCUCUCAAAUCAUCCUCCUUGCUAGUUGGUGUUUGUAAGCCAUUAGAGGAGUGACAAUUGUGACUCUAGAGCUCCAAGACAACAAGAUCAAACAAGAGAUUCAAAGGUAAACUUCUAGAUCUGAUUUUGUAUUGUUCUUAUACCUAAUUAGUCAUUAGAAGUCUUGGAUUCAAAGCAUGUUUAAUUAGAAAGCCUAGAUCCAAGCGUUAGGGUUUUGCAUGCGCACAUAGGAAAAUUCUUAUGGCUAAAACCCAUCAAAUAAUAUGUAACCAAACACAUUCGUCCACUAGUCAGCUGGUACUAAUAAAAUUCCUAAAAUCACAAAGCACGCAACAUUCGAGAAACAAGCAAUUCAAAUCAGAACACAACCUAAACAAGUCAUCCUACUAGAUAACUGAUCUCAUACUAGCAUGCAAAUAUUUAAUCUUAUACAAUAGGCACAUAAGGGCAUUUCUCCUAACAUUCUAUCAUGUAAUUCUGAGCAGAUCCUUGGCCCUAAUUUAGCAUGUAAUUCUCAUAUCAUAGCGUAAAACAUAUAACAUGUAUGGGUAUUUUGGGAAGACUUACUUUAGCUCGGGUGAUUUCACACAUUUCAUCCCUUUCUUUUAUGAAAAUCCCUUAAUAAAAAUAUUUAUUUUUUAUGGAAAAAUCUACCAAACCCUCGAUUUAAGUUCAGGAACACCCGAGAGUGUGCCCAAAUCCCUCAAACCAAGGCUCUGAUACCAACUUGUAACAUUCGAAAAAUUCCAGACAAAAUUUUCAUUUUUAAUUCAUUUAAGAUCGUUUAGCAAUCAUGUCAAACAGAGGCGGAUCCCUUUAGCGGCUAGGAGGGGCCAUGGCCCCCCUGUUUUUUUUGCCUUUUAAUACUAAAAAAAUACAAAUUAACUUAUUAAUUUAGGUAAAUACUAAUGUUGGCCCCCUCAUCAUUUUGAAAAGGAUAAGUAGAAAAGAUCAAGUAUUUUAUAACAGUACGUUUAUCAAAAAUUAAAAUUAUUAAACUAAGAAUUAGAUGUAUUUGCCCUCAUAAAUUUGAAAAAUAAAAUACUAAUGUUGGCCCCCUCGGCGAGUCCCUUGGUGCACUCGGCGAGUCCAAGCGUCAGGAAAGGCCAGAUUCGGGAUUUUUGAUGAUUAUCUUAUGGAAACGUACCUUAAUCAUAUUAGAUCAACCCUAAUCCGAUUUUUUGAUAUAUAUGACUAUGAUAUUGAUCUAAUUGAAGAUAUUUAUCAACUAAUAAAAUAUUUAAUUUCCUUAUAUGAUAAUUAAUUAAUUAUUUUGAUUAAAUUGGUAAUUAUCUUACUAGAAAUCUUGAAUAAAUCAAAUAUGGAUAAUUAUGGAAUUAUUGUUAAUUAAAAUUAUUUGUUAUUUGAUCCUCUAUGUUUUAAAUGUUUAAAACUUGUCCUCAAGUUUUGAAAUUUAUGUUUUGUGAUGAAAAGUUUUAAUUUAGACAAUUUAAAUUUCAAACCCUAGAUUUUUUAAAAGUUUAAAAUACAACCCUAUACUAAUAUAAUAUUACAAGAUUAAUAUAUAUGUAUAACUAAAAUGCUAGUCUUACCGUUAGUAGGCCUCAUUCACGAAGCCAAUCUAUAAGGUGGGUAUAAGGUUGCGGCCUAUAAAAUGGUGCUUAAUGGGUGUACACUCACACCCACCGCUUGCUUGAUUGGUGGAGGGUCGUUAGCCGAACGGGUAGGAUAGGGCAACCUCAUCCUCUCAUUAAAAGUAUAAUAAGAAAUAUAAAGUAACUACA